rnacentral:rRNA from 1 species
GACGAACGCUGGCGGCGUGCUUAACACAUGCAAGUCGAGCGGUAAGGCCCUUUCGGGGGUACACGAGCGGCGAACGGGUGAGUAACACGUGGGUGACCUGCCCUCAGCUCUGGGAUAAGCCUGGGAAACCGGGUCUAAUACUGGAUAUGACUCCAUGACGCAUGUUGUGGGGUGGAAAGCCUUGUGCGGCUGAGGAUGGGCCCGCGGCCUAUCAGCUUGUUGGUGGGGUGANGGCCUACCAAGGCGACGACGGGUAGCCGGCCUGAGAGGGCGACCGGCCACACUGGGACUGAGACACGGCCCAGACUCUUACGGGAGGCAGCAGUGGGGAAUAUUGGACAAUGGGCGCAAGCCUGAUCCAGCGAUGCCGCGUGUGUGAAGAAGG